CUUUCCUUCUGCCUCUUCCUCCUCCUCCUCACCUUCCUUCUCCUCCUCCUCCUCAUUGCCUCUUCCUCUUCCUCCUCCCCUCCUCGUUCUCCUCUUCCUCUCCUUCUUCCUCUUCUUCCUCUCCUUCUUCCUCCUCUUCCUCUUCUUUCUCCUCCACUUCCUCUUCUUUCUCCCCUCUCCUUCCUCCUCCUCCUCUUCCUUUCUCCUCCUCCUCCUCCUCCUUCCUCCUCCUCCUUCUCCUCAUGUAUGAGGCUUGCUCCAGCAUCCCCUGGUUAAUUACGCUCUACAUUCAAGGAUCCUAAAAGAAAAAUCCUUUCUUGGGUAUUUCACGGGCCUUUCCUCCACCCGAGAAGUUUCAAUCUAUUCCUAACCUCCCUUCCCCCCUCCUCCCAUGCUGCCUGAUGCUAUGAUGCCACAAUCCAGUCUCUGUGACUUGGCGAAAUGUUUCCAUGGUGAUGAGCAAUGAUGUCAUAAAGGAGGGAUUGUUGCAGGGUUGAAUGAAAUCUGGCACCAGAUGGACCUGCCUCCUUACCCAAGAGGAGAGGGAAAUGAUAAGUUGUGGGUGCUUCCAGAAAACGGGAAAGCAAAUCACUCAGUGGAUGGUGAGGAAGGAAAGACCCAGUCCUCCACAUCGGACGCUGGCAGCCCAAAUUGGAAAAGAACGUAUUUAUUGGACCUCACCAAGACAAAAAUCACUUUUCAGCCAAAGAAUCAAAGGAAAAAUCAAAGAGACAUAGCAUGAAGAGACCACACCUUCUGGUCUAGAAAGACCCGAGAUGACAGUAGCUUCAUCCACCCAAGUGUCAAGUAGAAAAUGGCUACUGAAUAAAAAAGCCAGGGGCUCUUCCUGAGCAGAAGCUUUGACGUCUGUGUGUCUCGUUUAAACAAACAAACAAACGACAAAACCAAACUUCGAUCGCUGUGCUUUGAGUAGCAGGCAGCAGAGCAACAAGUCAUCCCUGGAAACCACUGCAACUGUCUGUGGCCAAACCACCCAGGAUGUGCCUGACCUCAACUGAUCCCGAAGCAGGGUUGGCCAUGGCUAGUACAUGCACAGAAGAGAAUGCUCAUGAGUAAAGCCAGACAUUUACCUUGGCAAGACAGGUUACCUAGGCAGGAUCUGGUGAUGUCUCCGGCUGGAUCUUUCUCUGCCCCCUGGCAGUUCAGCAUAACUGCGGGAUGGCCAUGCGGCAAGUACCAAGGAAUUAGGCAGGCCCUUUCCAUAAAGGAUUUUGCUUGAUCCCACAGGAGGGUGUUGGGGCUGGAGCUGUGGACGGUGCCAUGGUGAUUUUCCCAUGUACAAGCAGCUGGUUUUCCAGAAAUUUUCCUCUUCCAGAAAGUUCCGGUCCACAGCACAUGCCAAGUCCACAUACGGCGAACGCACACUUGUACAACCUUCAUUGUUAUUCAAGAACUAACUUCAAAGGGAAGCCUUUUUCUCCAUCCAGGAAGCCUGACACACUCUCCUCUGUGCCCACACAUGCCUAGAGAUGGGGUAACCGCUCUCUUGUUUAUAGUAGAGAGCAGGAGGCAGUAUUUUCAGAUGUCAGCGCGGUCUUAACCAAACCACUUGGCAUGUUUAAGAAGAAAGACAGAUGGCCGGAGGGCUACGCUCCCAGAAUACUCUACAGCCCCCAAGAAUAUUACAAUAGCUGUUGCCAUGUUGGCAGGAAUGUGUCCUAGCAGUAGCUCCUCUCAUCGCUCCUUCGCCAUAACACUGAGGGACCUGGCAAACUGGGUUCUUCCUUGAUACUCCACCUCCACAACAGUGCGAUCUCUGAGAAGGAGCAACUGUGCGACUGUUCCUCACAUAAGCACAUGCCCCUAGCAGAACACAGAGGCCAAGGAGCAAGCAAAGCCAUACGCCAAGAGCCCUGAGUUCAGCAAAUCAUCUCUGCCAACUUCAAGCAUUUGGAAGCAAAGCCAGUUGUGUAUUCAUGUGUACAAUUGUGUGUGUGUGUGUGUGUGUGUGUGUGUGUGUGUGUGUGUAUGUUGUGUGUACACACUUGCAUCUAUGAGUUAGAGGCCGAAUUCCACUAUCGUUCCUCGGGAGCAGUCUAGCUUUUCGAGACAGGGAGUCACAUUAGAAUUGAGGCUUACGGGUUAGGGUCUCUGCCGCCCCAGAGCUUUGAUUACAAGCAUGCACUACCAGGCCUGGCUUCAUCCAUCAGCGCUGGGGAUCGAACUCAGACCUUCUGCUUGCUCGUCACGGAGCAGCCUGCCUAAGCCACUUCCUGCUCCCAAAGAAAGCUGAACUAUUUUAAGUAAUUUUGUGUGGAUCGCGUGACCAAGUUAAUAGACAAGGACUCUACCCGGAGCACCAAAAGGUGCCAUGUGCUAAAUUGAGACCCUGGGGCUUUGCAGAUUUGCUGUCCUCUGCUGAGAGAUGUAGAGAAGCGUGAGCUUCGUCUGGCUUACAAAUUCCCUGAAGCGGCCAGCAGUACUUCCUCUCCUUGAAAAGGAGUGCACUGUGCUUCAGGAAGGAUCCCUCAAGGGACUGGGCUGCCCUCCUGGGCUGACUCUACCCCUUUCAGUCCCACCUUAAAAUCCCCCCUCAGGUUAACUGUUCACAGUGCACUCCAGGCUGGGAUCUGGUCAAAAGAUGUACCUCUGAGUACCCGCAAGCUCCACCACUCUCCUUGUCUGUGACAAAUGCCUGACUGCCUGAAGUAAAAAUUACCUACAGACGCACAGCCAGCACAUUCCAGAGGCCUCGGGAAGGUGAGAAGGUUGGGGAGUGGCUGGUGCGCUCUUAGUUACCGAACACCAGAAAAAUACAAAAGGAGAAAGCUGGGGUGGCCAGGGUAAAGGGAAAAGCUACUGGCUCACUCAGCAGUGGCCUGUGUAUGCUGAAAGUCUAUCCUGGUUGCUCAGCAACCAAAAGAAAGCGUUUCAGAGAGCAAGGGGCUAAUUGGACAAAUGAAUUAAUUAGACAUUUCCGGAGUCAAUGUAAAUGACAACAGGCUUGGGUGGUCACUGUUCUUGUUAGACAUUUCUGGUUUCCCCCAUCCCUACCUGAGCACUGGUCUGGCAAAUACUGGAUAGAGAGGAGAACCAUGUAAGAAUGUGUCAGGAGAUACUUGGAGGGUCAGGCAAUGGGUAGACCCUGUGACCUGGAGACACUGAACUAGAUGACCUUUGAGUUCUCUUCUGCCUCUUGAUAUUUGAUCAGUGUUUGCACUGCAAGGGAGGGGGGCGGGGAAGGAGUAAAGCCCCAUUCAAGCACCCUGAAGGUGACUUAAUAACUGGCCUCCCCACUGACCCAUGGGGUUUCCCUUUGCUGUAUUUAAUGCCAGCAGCUCCCCUUGAAAGCAGAUAGACUGGGGGGAGCUGUUAGGGAGUUUGUGUGGGAAAUGAGAUAUUUUGUUGGCGGCUGCUUUCCCCCCCUUGCUCUGCUCUGCUUCCCCUGUUGGCUUCCUUUAAUCACAGCAGACCCCCACUGCUUGCUCUAAUGAUGGAGAGAACCUCUACUGUGCAGGAGAGGGAGCAGGCAAGAGGCACUGCUGGUGAGAUCGAUUCAGGCAGAGGGAGAGCAUGGUGACCAACCGACUCCAGAACCAGAAGGAGAGAGGCAAUGUGGACUUCUGCUUCAGGAAGCAAUUUCUGCUGGUUUCCCCAUGGGAACUGCUACACCUCUCUGAGCCUCUAUGUCCAUCCUGCAACGCAGGGAGACAGCAUUUGCUGACGCACUGAGGCUGAUCAAUGUGACUGCUAUUUAAUUACACGUCUCCCUUAUUGAACAUGACUAAAGUCUGUCUAUAAUUACAGACACUAAGAGCAAAUAUGUCAUUAGACCAUGCCUCUGUGACCCUGACUCCACCCUCCAUUUCUACCUCCCCUUGGUUGCCCCCAUACACACAUACGGGUUCACCUCACCCCCAGUUCUCCUCAUCCUGUUACUCACCUAGAAACACACACAGCCAAGCAGUUUAAGAGAACAGGGGCACAGGUGUGCCCAAUGGGGAAAGAGGAGAAACUGAAGUGGGCUCUGCACCUAGCAUCCAGGAGAAUUCAGGUCAGGUAAGGGGCCCCCAUGAGGCAUGCUGUGGUCAUCAGCCACACCUUGUUUGUAGUGCUGGGCCUGGUUACUGAAGCCACCAGGCCUUGGGUGCUUCUCUUUACCACAAGGCUUACCUCACAAGAAACUUCAUCAAGUCUCCAUGAGGAUUGAUCAGAUGCUGGAGAAGGUCACACUUCACGUCAGGCACACACUAGGGGCUCAGUAAGUGCUGUCCAGGAAUGAUAUCAGAUCAAAACAAGCUUGAAUGACAUAGAGCUGAUUUCCUUGCCUCCAGCCUCUUGGCCUCUCCCAACCCCCACUCUAAGCUUCGACUUCUGUAUGAUUAAUGUAGGAGACUCAACAGCCUUACACCCUAAAAGGCUUUUUUGCCUUGUUUGGCCUCCACCCUGCUGCUAAACAUGGCAUGAACCCCACAGUCUAACUCUUUUCCUCACAGUUUCCUCAUCCAUAAAGUAGAAAGUAAUUCGUCCCAGCUCUUAAAGUCGCUGAGACAGGAAAAUAAAAAAGGCACAAGGCAAAGUCCCAAGAUCAGUAUGCCUAUGUCGAGGACUUCCAGUCACUAGUGAUUCUUGACUCCAAGGACUCCUUUUGGCCCUACUGUUGGGUAGAUUUCAAGUUCCCAGAAAACCAAGAGUGGAGUGGAAUUGUAGUCAACUCCUUAAGUGUGGAGACACAGUUAGGAACCAGCUUAUCAUAGUUUAGAGACCAUUCACAGCAGGUCUCUGUGAUAGCCCCAGGGGCUCAGACUCUUGAAUGCUUAGACCCCCAUGGAGUGAAACUGAGAAAGAUUGAAAGGAUUGGGAAACUUGACCUUGUUAGAGUAGGCGGGGUCUUGUUGAAGGAAGUGUGUCACUGGGGGUUGGCUUUGAGGUCUCCAAAGCUCACUCCAGGCUCAGUCCCUUAUUCUUAUCUGCUGCCUACAGAUCGGGAUGUGCAGCUCCCAGAUACUGCUCUACUCUCUGUCUGCCUCCUGCUAUGAUGGUAAUGGACUAACCCUCUAAAAUGAUGAACAAGCCAGUAAGCAGCAUCCUUCCAUGGCCUCUGCAUCGGCUCCUGAAUCCAGGUUCCUGCCCUGCUUGAGUGAGUUCCUGUGCUGACUUCCUUCAACGGUGGACUAUGAUGUACAAGUCUAAGCCAAAUAAACCCUUUCCUCCCUA